UUUUAGCAGGGAAGAAGCGAAAGUGACGGUACCUGCAGAAAAAGCGCCGGCUAACUACGUGCCAGCAGCCGCGGUAAUACGUAGGGCGCAAGCGUUAUCCGGAAUUAUUGGGCGUAAAGAGCUCGUAGGCGGUUUGUCGCGUCUGCUGUGAAAUCCGGAGGCUCAACCUCCGGCCUGCAGUGGGUACGGGCAGACUAGAGUGCGGUAGGGGAGAUUGGAAUUCCUGGUGUAGCGGUGGAAUGCGCAGAUAUCAGGAGGAACACCGAUGGCGAAGGCAGAUCUCUGGGCCGUAACUGACGCUGAGGAGCGAAAGGGUGGGGAGCAAACAGGCUUAGAUACCCUGGUAGUCCACCCCGUAAACGUUGGGAACUAGUUGUGGGGUCCAUUCCACGGAUUCCGUGACGCAGCUAACGCAUUAAGUUCCCCGCCUGGGGAGUACGGCCGCAAGGCUAAAACUCAAAGGAAUUGACGGGGACCCGCACAAGCGGCGGAGCAUGCGGAUUAAUUCGAUGCAACGCGAAGAACCUUACCAAGGCUUGACAUAUACGAGAACGGGCCAGAAAUGGUCAACUCUUUGGACACUCGUAAACAGGUGGUGCAUGGUUGUCGUCAGCUCGUGUCGUGAGAUGUUGGGUUAAGUCCCGCAACGAGCGCAACCCUCGUUCUAUGUUGCCAGCACGUAAUGGUGGGAACUCAUGGGAUACUGCCGGGGUCAACUCGGAGGAAGGUGGGGAUGACGUCAAAUCAUCAUGCCCCUUAUGUCUUGGGCUUCACGCAUGCUACAAUGGCCGGUACAAAGGGCUGCAAUACCGCGAGGUGGAGCGAAUCCCAAAAAGCCGGUCCCAGUUCGGAUUGAGGUCUGCAACUCGACCUCAUGAAGUCGGAGUCGCUAGUAAUCGCAGAUCAGCAACGCUGCGGUGAAUACGUUCCCGGGUCUUGUACACACCGCCCGUCAAGUCAUGAAAGUCGGUAACACCUGAAGCCGGUGGCCUAACCCUUGUGGAGGGAGCCGUCGAAGGUGG
rnacentral:rRNA from 1 species